AGGAAUGUUAUUGCGUCUUCGAUUUGUACGAUUUAAUAAUCCAGAGCAAUAACAAUCCUGU
rnacentral:pre_miRNA from 1 species